GUCUCGCCCAACCCAACCAGACCCUCCAUAUGUCUCCCCAUCCCCUUGCUGUCUCCAUUGGCGGGGAGACUGCGUUACCCGGUCUGGUAGGAAGAGCUCUCUGUUAGACCGCAGUCCAUUCAGCCACACUACACAUUGCGGCAGAAUGGGAGCAGCACAGUGCUUCCCUCUUGCAGGUCACCCAGCAUCCGCAGCCCCGCCCACGGUCACAGGGAUUGGCAGAAACAAAAAUUGAACUUGCUAUGCAUAAUAUAAUAAUCUUCACCUCUGGUAGGCUUCCAUGCUAUGGAAUUCAUUUGUGAGAGUGCUCUGACUGAAAUUGCUUAAUGUGGGGACCUCCUACAGCGGCUUUACCUCAAUAUACAGUUUCAGUCAGAGCUCUUUGAUUGGCUAAUACAUGGUAUGCAUUCUGUGUGGAAGUCCUCCAUUGGUAAAGGUUUUUGUUUUUAUAAACUUCUUUUUAAAAAAUGAAUGGUUGCAUCAGUUAUAUUGGAUUUUUGUUUGGCCUUUUGUGGGGCAAAAAAAUGUCUGAUGGCAAGUAUACAUUUUGUUUUUUUAUAGGUGUUGGUUUUUAAGACCUUGCACUUCAUUUUAUGUUGGGACAUUAAUAACGCCUUUUUUAUUUUAUUUUUUUAAUUUAUAAGUCAAAAUGUGUGAUUGAUGGGAGUUUUCUCACUGUUGUAAUUAUAGGAGCUCCAAGUUGUCGCUAAAGCUGGUCAAAUGAAGGUGGAACAAAAUAGGAGAGGGGGAAGGGAUCAAUGAUAAAACGUGACUGCUUUUCCCAUCAUGCACUGGUUACGUUUACGGUGAUCUGUAG